rnacentral:lncRNA from 1 species
GCAAGUGAGGGUGCGGCGAGGUUAAAAAGUGUUGGAGGCACGCAGAGAGUUGCGCCAGUUACUAGUCGUGCACUUCCACGUUGCCGCGGGAAGAGCCUCGGUCAACUGGUAGAGGAAUUUGAGGACAUCGAGGAUGAGCGGAGGGACUUGCUCAAGGAUUCCCUGAAAACUAUCGAAGUCACCGAGAACCAGAAUGCAGUGAGGUACCUGGUUCGUCUGGCAGAGGCACAUGUGACGUUGGUCAGGCUCCGGAAAUACUUGCAGGCUGCAGAAAAGGUCCUCCACGCUGCCCAUUCGCUUACAUCGGAGCAUGGACUGCCAGAUGUUAGAGUGACGGUCGCCAAGAGUAGAAUCGAGAAUGAUGCCCUGAGAAACCUUUUGUUGAAGCUGUCGAAAAUCUAUUCCGAAACGAGUGACACUCAAGUUUGGAGCAUGCCGUACAUCGUGCGAGGUCUAUUACUGCCGGUUUCUCGCGCUUUCAUUCAUAGUGAAGAAAAACUCCUGGAAGCAAUCGUGAAAUUCCAGUCCGAGCUAAGUCGUGCCACGGAAAAGAAAAGCAUCCUUCUAGUCAGUUGACCGAUCCCAGAUGACCACGAAUCCAUUAUUUCUCCUCCAUAUUAAAACAUUUUCUGAAAAUCUUUUA